rnacentral:rRNA from 1 species
AUUGAACGCUGGCGGCAUGCCUAACACAUGCAAGUCGAACGGAGGGCUUCGGCCCCCAGUGGUGGACGGGUGAGUAACGCGUAGGGAUCUGCCCCGCAGUGGGGGACAACCUGGGGAAACUCAGGCUAAUACCGCAUACGCUCCAUGGAGGAAAGCGGGGGACCUUCGGGCCUCGCGCUGCGGGAUGAACCUACGUCCGAUUAGCUAGUUGGUGGGGUAAGGGCCCACCAAGGCGACGAUCGGUAGCUGGUCUGAGAGGACGGCCAGCCACACUGGGACUGAGACACGGCCCAGACUCCUACGGGAGGCAGCAGUGGGGAAUAUUGGACAAUGGGCGCAAGCUGAUCCAGCAAUGCCGCGUGGGUGAAGACGGCCUGCGGGUUGUAAA